CUGCUGAGAUGCGUAAAGAAAUCUUAGCUGGAAUGACUUCUCAGAAUCUUGGUUUUCAAAGUGAUGGAUUAGGAGAUCCCAAGCCACGCAUAAAGGGUGCUCGUCGCAGAUGGAACAACGGUGAGAGCACACCUGGACAGGGGAGGGGCAGGAAUUUUGAUUCCUGACACAGGUUUCCUCGUUGAAUGUUGCUGUUGUAGAAGAAUGCAACUGAGUUUUAUAAGCAGAUCUUGUUCUUGACAUCCUUGCUGAACGAAAGUGACCGGCCCUCCCUAAGACUCAGUGUCCUUACCUCUGAAAUAGAGCUGUCAAUCACAUCUGCCUCACAGGCUUGUUCUGAGGAUGAAGUGAGAAAAUGCCCACAAGGUGCUGGUUGCAGCAGCUGGUGCAUAGAGCUUAAAAAGGAUGCAGUCCCAAAACAUAGAAGGAUUUACUCCAGAUCCAAGCAGUGAGUCAGGAACAGAAAGCCUGAUGCCCUCACCUGGAACUCUCCCUCCUCCCUGGAUGAGGACCUUCCCCAGAAUUGCAGGGCACCCACACAAGACCAAGCAAGUUCAGAGAAAAGUGAAACCUGACUUUAGAGCCUCUCGGAUGUUCACUACACCUCGUCGAACCUGUUUGGUUCACACAGCUCCAGCUACCGUCUACUCCCUGCAACUGGCCUGCUGCCAAUGCCCCAGAUCUCUUGUGGAGCUGCCGGAAGAGACAGCCUGCCACAGAAGAAAGCAGCCCUCCUCUUUCAUGGCCUCCCACAUCUUGAAACAAACAAAAGCAAACAAAACAAAAGCUUGAGUCCCAGCCUGAUUCACCAGGUUUGGUUCCCAAUUGUUGAAAUUCCCUUCCCAGGGCUCUCAGAACCAGGGUUGGCUGGAGGGGUGAAAGAGGCUGGCCCUGAGUCCAGUAAUAGGACACUAAAGGGGAGCUAAAAGCUGGGACCUGGGGUGAAGAUGGGGUCUUCCAAGCUGGGAGGCAGACACCAGGCCAGAACAACCGGCCUGCCCCAGCUCAGGCCUCUUAACCCAUGCAGGGCAAGAGUACAAACAGAGGCCACGGACCCCAUGCCACAGUAUUUAAAGUUAUAAAUCAAGCUAACAUAACGUGAAAUCAAAUGUGUUCUAUCCUCCUAGCUUGACAAAUACUUUCAUAACGAGAUGGAAUGCCAGGUUCAGAUUUAGAAUUUUCACACUCCUUAAAGUUCCAAGU